UCUCUUUUUGUCGCUCGGCUGUUGUUUCCUGCACUCCCACAAAGGGGACUUUGAAAUCUUUCCAGUUUUUACAAUUAAACCUAACCAUCUGGACGAAAAUCUUCACAUUCACUAAAUUAGUCACAGAUUUUGUGGGUAAGCUGAGAAAGUAAACGCUGCGCUCAGUGCUAGGAUUUAAACCACAUCCACCAGAGCAAAACACUCUGCAAUAAUCUCCCCAAUUAUGCACGCACAGUCAGGCUCAAAUAACACAGCGGCGACCAUACCUCGCUGCACAGAAUCUCUGUACAAUGAGCAUCGCUCUUGGGGUCACGAAGCGACUUACAACACAUCCAAAAUGAGAUGCUUUAAAAAAAACCAAAAACCAAAAAAACAGUCAGAAUUCACUGUCCAGACAGAAAGAGAAGACAGGGCUUCUUUCCCACCCACCCCUGAAUUCCCUUCCCGCUACCCGUGCGUGCUG
rnacentral:lncRNA from 1 species